AUUGAACGCUGGCGGCAGGCCUAACACAUGCAAGUCGAGCGGAUGAAGGGAGCUUGCUCCUGGAUUCAGCGGCGGACGGGUGAGUAAUGCCUAGGAAUCUGCCUGGUAGUGGGGGAUAACGUCCGGAAACGGGCGCUAAUACCGCAUACGUCCUGAGGGAGAAAGUGGGGGAUCUUCGGACCUCACGCUAUCAGAUGAGCCUAGGUCGGAUUAGCUAGUUGGUGGGGUAAAGGCCUACCAAGGCGACGAUCCGUAACUGGUCUGAGGGGAUGAUCAGUCACACUGGAACUGAGACACGGUCCAGACUCCUACGGGAGGCAGCAGUGGGGAAUAUUGGACAAUGGGCGAAAGCCUGAUCCAGCCAUGCCGCGUGUGUGAAGAAGGUCUUCAGAUUGUAAAGCACUUUAAGUUGGGAGGAAGGGCAGUAAGUUAAUACCUUGCUGUUUUGACGUUACCAACAGAAUAAGCACCGGCUAACUUCGUG
rnacentral:rRNA from 1 species